UAGCCUCCAAUUUUCAAGGUCAACUCCAUCCAUGACAAAUGUUUUAAAAUUUUAAGGAAUGACCUAUUUCAAGAUUUAAAUGUUGCAAUAGUCAUGAAAUUCUUUUUUUGGAGGAAUUUUUACCAUUGUAAUACAAAGGUGGAUCUGUUUUUUUCCUCUUUCUUCACCGACCUUCAUACUUUGCUUACAUUCAAACAUGAACCAUGCAUAUAUAUAUAUAUAUAUAUAUAUAUAUAUAUAUAUAUAUAAAAUUUGGAAAUGGUGUUGCGGUGGAGGGAGUGGACAACCAACUAGUGAAUUGCACGGUGGUAUUCAUUUGGAUAUAUGCAUGAGAGACUAAUUGAAGUUUGGAAAACAAAGGUUGCACAGGUUUUUUCGUGGCUGAGUUUCAAAGUGAAUAUUCGUGGUUGUAAAUUGCAAGUGUAUGAUCGACUUCGACUCACCCUCAGCUCUAGCCAGUCUCCAGCACAUCAAAGUUCAGGGUGAGCUAUUAUUUCUAGCUCGUGCUGUAUUCUCUCAUUUAUGUCACGAUGUUCUUAAAUUUCGGACAUAAACCAUCUGAAUCACUUAUUUCGGUAUUUUCAAUACUUUAAGACUUGAUAAUUUAGAACAGAUGUCCUUGAUGUGUUGACUUUCAGGUUUUGGGGAUAAUGUGUAAUAGACUUUAAAGAUUGAUUUGAUUAGUUACUUGACAAGUUUUGAGCUUCCGCAUUUUUAUUGUUAUUCGUAGUUGAAGUAUUAAUAUAUGUUGGGGUUUAGAUUCCUUGAUUCGCCCACUUAGGAGAAUAGUGUGGGUGCCACUCAUGACUCGUUUUGGAUCGUGACAUAGGUGGAGAAGGAGGAGUUACAGGAGUUGUGUUGUUGUAGUUGCACUGACUUUGAUGUGCAAUUUGAGUCCAGAUGCACAAUGACCAGAAAUGUCACACAAGAAGUAGUCUCCAUCAGGAGUGCCUAGUGUAAUUGAAUCACUGCGAAAGUUGAAGGUGGCUACUGGAUUAUUAGUUGUGCAUGAUUUGUAGUCGUUCAUGUCAACUUGUAUCACGUUGUGUAAUUGUGGAUCGUAAUUGAAAAUUUCAUAAAGAUAUGCAUAACUCAAUUAUUUUGAUCCCAA